rnacentral:tRNA from 1 species
GGUCCAUUCGUCUAUCGGUUAGGACGACAGAUUUUCAUUCUGUAAAGAGCAGUUCGACUCUGCUAUGGACUA